CCUACGGGAGGCUGCAGUAGGGAAUCUUCCACAAUGGGCGAAAGCCUGAUGGAGCAACGCCGCGUGGGUGAAGAAGGUCUUCGGAUCGUAAAACCCUGUUGGUAGAGAAGAAAGUGCGGGAGAGUAACUGUUCACGUUUCGACGGUAUCUAACCAGAAAGCCACGGCUAACGACGUGCCAGCAGCCGCGGUAAUACGUAGGUGGCAAGCGUUAUCCGGAUUUAUUGGGCGUAACGGGAACGCAGGCGGUCUUUUAAGUCUGAUGUGAAAGCCUUCGGCUUAACCGGAGUAGGGCCUUGGAAACUGGGAGACUUGAGUGCAGUAGAGGAGAGUGGAACUCCAUUUGUAGCGGUGA
rnacentral:rRNA from 1 species